rnacentral:rRNA from 1 species
UACGGGGGGAGCAAGCGUUGUUCGGAUUUACUGGGCGUAAAGGGCGCGUAGGCGGCCACCGCAAGUCAGUUGUGAAAUCUCUGGGCUUAACCCAGAACGGUCAGCUGAUACUGCGGGGCUAGAGUGCAGAAGGGGCAACUGGAAUUCUCGGUGUAGCGGUGAAAUGCGUAGAUAUCAGGAGGAACACCGAUGGCGAAGGCAGGUCUCUGGGCCACUACUGACGCUGAGAAGCGAAAGCAUGGGGAGCGAACAGG